AUUGAACGCUGGCGGCAGGCUUAACACAUGCAAGUCGAGCGGAGAGAGGUAGCUUGCUACUGAUCUUAGCGGCGGACGGGUGAGUAAUGCUUAGGAAUCUGCCUAGUAGUGGGGGACAACAUUUCGAAAGGAAUGCUAAUACCGCAUACGUCCUACGGGAGAAAGCAGGGGAUCUUCGGACCUUGCGCUAAUAGAUGAGCCUAAGUCGGAUUAGCUAGUUGGUGGGUUAAAGGCCUACAAAGGCGACGAUCUGUAGCGGGGCUGAGAGGAGGAUCAGCCACACUGGGAGUGAGACAAGGCCAAGACUCCUCGGGGAGGCAGCGGUGGUGAAUCUUGGACAAUGGGCGCUAGCCUGAUCCAGCCAUGCCGCGUGUGUGAAGAAGGCCUUCUGGUUGUAAAGCACUUUAAGCGAGGAGGAGGCUACUUUAGAUAAUACCUAGAGAUAGUGGACGUUACUCGCAGAAUAAGCACCGGCUAACUCUGUGCCAGCCGCCGCCGUAA
rnacentral:rRNA from 1 species